rnacentral:rRNA from 1 species
GAUGAACGCUGGCGGCGUGCCUAAUACAUGCAAGUCGAGCGAACAGACGAGGAGCUUGCUCCUUUGACGUUAGCGGCGGACGGGUGAGUAACACGUAGGUAACCUACCUAUAAGACUGGGAUAACUUCGGGAAACCGGAGCUAAUACCGGAUAAUAUUUCGAACCGCAUGGUUCGAUAGUGAAAGAUGGCUUUGCUAUCACUUAUAGAUGGACCUGCGCCGUAUUAGCUAGUUGGUAAGGUAACGGCUUACCAAGGCAACGAUACGUAGCCGACCUGAGAGGGUGAUCGGCCACACUGGAACUGAGACACGGUCCAGACUCCUACGGGAGGCAGCAGUAGGGAAUCUGCCGCAAUGGGCGAAAGCCUGACGGAGCAACGCCGCGGGAGUGAUGAAGGUCUUCGGAUCGUAAAACUCUGUUAUUAGGGAAGAACAAACGUGUAAGUAACUGUGCACGUCUUGACGGUACCUAAUCAGAAAGCCACGGCUAACUACGU